GACGAACGCUGGCGGCGUGCUUAACACAUGCAAGUCGAACGGAAAGGCCCUGCUUUUGUGGGGUGCUCGAGUGGCGAACGGGUGAGUAACACGUGAGUAACCUGCCCUUGACUUUGGGAUGACUUCAGGAAACUGGGGCUAAUACCGGAUAGGAGCUCCUGCUGCAUGGGGGGGGUUGGAAAGUUUCGGCGGUUGGGGAUGGACUCGCGGCUUAUCAGCUUGUUGGUGGGGUAGUGGCUUACCAAGGCUUUGACGGGUAGCCGGCCUGAGAGGGUGACCGGCCACAUUGGGACUGAGAUACGGACCAGACUCCUACGGGAGGCAGCAGUGGGGAAUAUUGCACAAUGAGCGGAAGCCUGAUGCAGCAACGCCGCGUGCGGGAUGACGGCCUUCGGGUUGUAAACCGCUUUCGCCUGUGACGAAGCGUGAGUGACGGUAAUGGGUAAAGAAGCACCGGCUAACUACGUG
rnacentral:rRNA from 1 species